rnacentral:rRNA from 1 species
AUUGAACGCUGGCGGCAUGCCUUACACAUGCAAGUCGAACGGCAGCACGGGUGCUUGCACCUGGUGGCGAGUGGCGAACGGGUGAGUAAUAUAUCGGAACGUACCUUAUUGUGGGGGAUAACGCAGCGAAAGCUGUGCUAAUACCGCAUAAUCCCUAAGGGGGAAAGCGGGGACCGUAAGGCCUCGCGCAAUUAGAGCGGCCGAUACCUGAUUAGCUAGUUGGUGAGGUACAGGCUCACCAAGGCAACGAUCAGUAGCUGGUCUGAGAGGACGAUCAGCCACACUGGGACUGAGGCACGGCCCAGACUCCUACGGGAGGCAGCAGUGGGGAAUUUUGGACAAUGGGGGCAACCCUGAUCCAGCAAUGCCGCGUGAGUGAAGAAGGCCUUCGGGUUGUAAAGCUCUUUUGUCAGGGAAGAAACAGCAGCUCUAACACAGUAUGCGAAUGACGGUACCUGAAGAAUAAGCACCGGCUAACUACGUGCCAGCCGCCGCCGUAA